GGGAAAAAAAAACCAAAAAUCAAAAUCUUGUAUUAGUGCAUUGUACAAAGAGAUGGCAAUGAUUGAAAACAUAAAAUCCAUUGAUAUGUAGUAGUGAUUAAAGUUUUUUUAAAAGUUCCUGUCAUACUUUCCAUAGAUUUCCAGAUUUCCAUCUAUAAAAAUAAGUAGAAUUUGAUUUGUAUGAUUUAUACAUGUGGAUACAAAAUAAUCAUGUGUACAAACAAAUGCAUCUACAUAUAUUUAUGAUGGUUGUGUUUUAAGAUUCCUCC